CUCUAAUGUUCCUCCAGGCCACCAAAUCCAUUAUUGCCGUCCAGACCCUGCUGAAAAUCAAAUUCGCAGCUACUGGGGGAUUUUAAUGAGGGCGUCCAUAUUGAUUGUUUGGUUACACUGUUUGGGUUUGCUGCCACUGUCAAAAAUGUACCUGACAUUUUUUUCACCUGAAUCAUGGAUCAUCUUUUCUGGAACAUGCCGAGCAUAAUUCUCCAUGCUCCAGUCUGCAAAGCACUCUAUCUACAUAUGCCAAAUGUUAUUAUUGCAGUUCCUUCAGGAGUGACCUUAGAAGAUGUUUGUUCCAAAGAACUUCAAGCUGUUCACUGUGGUAUAUUCAUAGUCACAAAUUUAAAAUACAUCAGUGAGAGAAAAUACAUUUAGGCUGUGUACUGUUUCACAGAGUGCAUGGGUUCCCUCUGCCUGCUUCCUGUUCCUUUCACAUACUCCUUCCAUUACUCUUGGCCACUCAGACAUAGUGCGUGCAAAUUCGACUUUGCUGCGAAUUUUAAAUGAAAUGCUUGUGAUGGAGAUUAUCUUCCUUGUGUGACGGUACAGUAUCAUUAUUUCUAGUACUUUUCAGAGUCCACCUGCUCUAUGUUAAAAUUAAAGAUUUAUGUAAUAAUAGAAUUUUAAAAUGGGCAGGGCUUUUAAAAAUCACCUGGUUCAACUCCUGUGUUUUACAGAUGGUUUUACAGAUGAAGAAACUGAGGCCCAUGAAUAUUAUGUAAUUUUUUCAAGACCACAGAUUCAGCCAGAGACAAGAGACAGGUCUAAAACUUGCAGGUAUACUGACUUCUGGACCGAGGAAUUCUUUUUCACUAUUCGAGUUUUUCACUCCAAGUUAUGUAGUGACAUCUUUGAGUAGUGAAUACUCCAACUCUGGUGCGGUAAAAGUAGGACGCCUCAGUUUCUGCGCAAUGAAGGUACGUGUUGAUAAGACUCUGUACCUUUCUUUUUGGAGUUUGCAGUUGCCCUUUGCUCUUUGUUGCAGGGGUUGUUAAGUUUCCAUUUACAUAGACUCUGCAAAAGUGAAAAAAAGAACAAUUUUAAAGCUGUUUAUAUGCAUCCAGCCAAAUAUAACCUUUAAAUACUACUCCCUGGGAUGGAGGCUUCACUGUCUUCAGGCCAAAUCUGGCCUAUGGAGCAUCUUUGAGUUAUUGUGCAAAAAAGUAGAGGCUUCCUUUUUUUAAUGUGCUGGAGUUCUGAUAUUUGUCUGCGUUAUAUGAGAAACUGUGAAAUACAAGUUGUUUGGAUUUUCAGCAAUUGUUAAUGAUAUAAUGAACUAUCAUUAUUAUAUGUAUAUAUGUAUAUAGAUAGUAUCUGUAAGUGCCUCCCAUAUACUUUUCAUAAUUGUUUAAGAGCCAUGACUUGGUCAGAUUGUCCUUUUCUGUCAUGUUUCAAAUGUUGAAUCUUGAAAAACAAGUAUGAGAAUAACACACUGAGCUUGUCAUUAGUAGAUUAGUUGCCGCUACAAAGCCUUCUGUUGAGGAUGAAUUCUUUUUUACUUGCCUAAAAAGUGUUUCUCUUGGAGAGCAAUUACCUCUGAUUGACAUGUUUUCAUGUGCCUCCAGCCUUGGUGCAUUUCUUUCUUUAGUACACUAAACAGGUCUAGAUCAAGGACUGUUAUUUUAUUUUUUUGCUCUUGUUGUUGUUUUACUGCUAUUAACUAAAUCAGGAUACCAGAGGAAAACUUAGACACCUUGUAAAGUGCAACUUAAAACAAAUUAUAAAAUAUGUAUAAAGAGAUGUGCAUUUUGUUGUGGGGGUCACUAGACUAUCGCUGAGCUAGAAUUGCUGAAAGUCAAUUGAAAGGCAAGAACAUAACAGAGUUGGGCUUGUUAAAAUAAGAAACCAUUGUAUUUUCU
rnacentral:lncRNA from 13 species